rnacentral:rRNA from 1 species
CCCUUAGACGUUCUGGGCCGCACGCGCGCUACACUGACGGAGCCAGCGAGUAUAAACCUUGGCCGAGAGGUCUGGGAAAUCUUGUGAAACUCCGCCGUGCUGGGGAUAGAGCAUUGUAAUUAUUGCUCUUCAACGAGGAAUUCCUAGUAAGCGCAAGUCAUCAGCUUGCGUUGAUUACGUCCCUGCCCUUUGUACACACCGCCCGUCGCUACUACCGAUUGAAUGGCUUAGUGAGGCUUCCGGAUUGGUUUAGAGAAGGGGGCAACUCCAUCUUGGAACCGAGAAGCUAGUCAAACUUGGUCAUUUAGAGGAAGUAAAAGUCGUAACA